UACGUAGGGGGCGAGCGUUGUCCGCAUUUACUGGGCGUAAAGCGCGCGUAGGCGGUUUCUUAAGUCUGGGGUGAAAGGUUCAACGCUCAACGUGAACAGUGCCUUGGAUACUGGGAGACUUGAGUCUGGGAGGGGGCAGUGGAAUUCCUGGUGUAGCGGUGAAAUGCGUAGAUAUCAGGAGGAACACCGGUGGCGAAGGCGGCUGCCUGGCCUAAGACUGACGCUGAGGUGCGAAAGCGUGGGUAGCGAACGGG
rnacentral:rRNA from 1 species